rnacentral:lncRNA from 1 species
UAUGAGGGUGAAACGGGCCGUCCCCAUACCCCGUCCGGUAUGGGCGCCAAAACCGUAAGAUCUCCAUACCCCGUCCGGCAUGUGAGACCACAAUCCCGGUAGGGUUCCCUACGGACCCGGUCCGUCCACCAUCUCCCACGAUAUCUAGUUAGGCUGACCCCCAUAAUACAAUUAUCAGUCUACACAAUCUUUCAUUUUUCUUUUCCUCAGUCAGCAUCAUCAAUUCACAUACAAACAAGCAAAACAGUAAUUCAUGCCAAACAGACAACAUACAGGAUCAGUUUUUUCAGUCA